rnacentral:rRNA from 1 species
UACAGAGGGGGCAAGCGUUGUUCGGAAUUACUGGGCGUAAAGGGCGCGUAGGCGGCCUGUUAAGUCGAACGUGAAAUCCCCGGGCUCAACCCGGGAACUGCGUCCGAUACUGGCUGGCUUGAAUCCGGGAGAGGGAUGCGGAAUUCCAGGUGUAGCGGUGAAAUGCGUAGAUAUCUGGAGGAACACCGGUGGCGAAGGCGGCAUCCUGGACCGGUAUUGACGCUGAGGCGCGAAAGCCAGGGGAGCAAACGGGAUUAGAUACCCCGGUAGUCCUGGCCCUAAACGAUGAAUGCUUGGUGUGGUGGGUAUCGAUCCCUACCGUGCCGAAGCUAACGCAUUAAGCAUUCCGCCUGGGGAGUACGGUCGCAAGAUUA